ACAUGUCACCCAACCCACUAAUUAACCCAAACUAAAUUUAACCCAUCAAACCUUACAUAAACCAACCCAUUAACUAAAAUAUUUCUUUCUUUUUUUAAUACUAACCCCCCCCAAAACAAACAAAUCUCCAGCAGCAAACAAAGAAAGAAAGAAGAGAUCCAAGCUUCAAGCCGUCGAACCCCUCUUUUUCCUUCCACCGUACGCGCCACCAACAGCCAUCGUAUGCGCCGCAUGAAAUCAAGCUACGGGUAGUUGAGAUUUGAGUUUUGGGGUGGCUUAUAAUCGAUUGGCUCGGGUAUUUAGAGUGGGUUUCGGUUUGGGAGCUUGGUUGUGGUGUUAAUGGUGGUCAGUCCUUGGUUGCUUGGUUGCUUGCCGGAUAUUGAAGUUUUUUUCUUGCUUAGAUUGGGUAGGAGGUGCCAGGCAUGCGGGGAUGGUGUUGGCAGAAGCAUGGGGCGUGGUAGCCGAUAUGGUGGUGACCAAAAAUGAUGCUAGUGUCAGAGGAAAGUGGGGUGUGGUAGCCAAGGUUUCUUGUUGUCUGUUUCUCUUUUUUUUUUUUUUAUGUUGGGCUAGUUGAGUAUUGGGCUGGUGGUAUUUGGGCUAUGGGAUUUGGUUUGUUGGUUUGGAUUUAAUGGGUCUUGUGUAUUGGGUAGGUGGGUCAAAAUUAUAAAUGGGGCAAAAUUUGGGCUAUAACAACAUUGAAUUGUCAACUAUUGCUUGGCUCUUUAAGCAAUAUAAUUGACGAAGGUAUCUGUAAUCGUCACCUCGGCCCAGAUAAUAUGGAAGGUAAAAUUGUUGAAGUGUAGUUCUCUGUCGCUUUAAGUAUUAAUCCAUUUAAAAAAUCUUCAUUCAGGUUAUUACUUACAACAUCAGCUGAGCCCUCAAAAAGCUUCACCACAGUGGACAUGGAAGGCCUCUUUACAUAUUCAGUUUGUAAGCACCAUGCAACGACCUUCAUCAUCUCCACAACUUCAAUUGCAUUCGAUUGCAUAUCACUAUUGCACUUAUCAACUAAAUCCAGGAGUUGCCCUUCUUCUUGCUUUCUCCUAAACAGUUCCAAUAAAUGCCAAUCUUCUUCUUGUUGAGAUCUAUCGAUGUUUCGACGCCCGCACAGAAUUUCUAGGACCACAAUACCAAAGCUAUAGACAUCUACUUUCUCAGUUAUGGUUGAAGUUAGCCAUUCGGGAGCCAUAUAACCAGGGGUUCCCCUCAUAGUUGUUAGGACUUGACUUUGAUCUCUUCCAAUUAGCUUAGAUAACCCAAAAUCUGAAACUUUGGCAUUGAAUUUCUCGUCUAAAAGGAUAUUUUCUGGUUUGAUGUCGAAA